rnacentral:lncRNA from 1 species
GACACGUCCAGGCACCUCGUGAUGGUUUUUCCUGAACUGCAGACCCAACACACUGGGACCCUGCCCACCACCAGAGGCCUCUGCCUGGGAGUCCACUCUGCAUAGCCCUUGCUGCUCUUCCUUGUAAUCCAGUUGUACCCAGAUCCUUCCAUGGGAGCCCCACAUCCUGCUGU